AAUUAGCGCUCGAGUUCCACAGAGGCAGAAGGCCGGCUCUUGUUUUCCGGUUUCGUAGACGACACAGGCUGGAAUGUGCAGCCUUUUUUUCUCUUUAAUGUUUUAUCGAAGUAUUUCUGGUUCUGUGGGUUACGAGACACCGUCCUCAUCUAUUAGAAACGCAGAUACAAAACAAAUGUGGUUAACAAGUGGUUUAUGAAUCUAUUUGGGGAAACGCCAUUCAGAUUUGUUGAAGGCUUGACUUUAAAAAUGUCACAGGGGUGUAAUUGUGAGGGUCCACAGAGCUGCAAAGUAGUUGUUAUAUGGUUCACAUAUUUUAUUUCUGAACUGUAUAACAACUAGGUUGCAAAUAUGUUUUAUGAUUCAAAUAUUUUUGCCUGAAUAAUGUUUAAAAGACACUGAAAUAUAUACAUAUAAUCAUCAUGUAGAAAUCAUACACACUACCAUUCAAAAGUUUUUUUGUUUUGUUUUUUAAACAAAAGUCUCUUAUGCUCUAAAAGUCUCACCAAGCCUGCAUACAUUAAAAACAGUAAUAUUGUGAAAUAUUAUUACAAUUUCAAAGAAAAGUUUUCUAUUUGAAUAUAUAAACAGCUGUGCUGCUUCACAUUUUUGUGGAAAAAGUAAUACAUAUUACUGUAGUACUGACCCCAAACUUUUGAAUGAUAGUGUAGUUUUCUAAAAAUCAGUUUACUGUAUGGGUCAAUGAUGUGGCUUUUUUUCUUUUGUGUUGAUUUAUCUAUUGUAACUAUUCAAUUAUUACAAAAUACACUAAAAAAUAUAUUUUUUUACUUUAUAAAUAUAAAUAUAAAUAUAUAUUUUAGAGAUGCACAGAUGUAUCGGCCAAUAAUAGCAAAUUUUCACACUAUCGGCAGACGAUAAUCAGGGCCGAUAUAUCCUGUCAAUCAACAAAGGGCAGUAAAAUGCACUGCAUUUGGGCUUUGUGUAAAGAAAAUGCUAAAAAAUGUUUGAUGUUCAAUAUUAAUAGUAAUUAUAUGAAUUAAUAACAUUCAGAAGGUUAAGAAAGUUAUUUCUUAAGAAAUAACUUUAAUCUUCAGAAUUUAGUUAAUGUGUUAAUAUUAAUUUGAGUAAUGUGUUUGUUAAUAACUGAUACCAGUUACUCUGAAACAAAUUGAAGAAAUCUAUAACGAUAACUACUGGUAUUGGCAGAUAUCACUCUGAAUAAUCGGCUAUCGAUAUCUUUGGAGAAAUUUAGUAAUGGUGCAUCUCUAUUAAAAAUAUAUAUUUUUUGAAGCAUUAAUUUUCUUUGGUUAACCACUAAUCAUUUUAAGAGCCAUUCAAUCAGAACUUUUGUUAAAAAUGGUAUAAACCAACAUGAAUGUCAUGUUCUCAAUUAGCUGCAUAAACUUCAUAUGAGGCGUUUAAUGUUUAACAUCAUCUGUCAUUUGAGUUACCAUAAGCACUUGGUUGGAUGGUAACAAGUGGUCACACACAAACAUCAUUUUAAUUAUUUAAGGACAUGUUUCUGCCAACAGAGAUCUGUAUUUUAUGAACAAAACCAUCAGGUCACCACAAUCCCCGGGUGAAAGGCGGAUACAGUCACAGUCAACAUAUAAAAAUAACAAGUGUCUUUAUGAACAGAACACGGCAAACUCCUCUGACAGUCUGUUAUAGCACUAUUAAUUAUGAUUAUUCAACCACAGGGAGGAAAAUAAGAGAAACCAUUGGAAAAACUCUAGCAGGACAAUACAGUACAUACAGCUGCAUUGUGGGUAAAAAAGGAAGAAGCCGACAGAGUCCAAACCCACUCUGGGUGGUAGAUUGUUAUAUAUGUCAUUUAAUUUCCUCGUCAUAAAAGAAAUGGUGAAUUCAAACCAGAUGUGUGCUGUUUGGCCUCGUCCUCCAUGCGAUACAAUUUGUUUUUUGAUGCGUGUUUUUGCAUUCGUAUUAUGGCGAACUCUCUUCAUUUGUCUGGCAUUUUAACGGGACACAAAAGCGAAAUGGAGACAGGUCCCAGACGGUACAGGAAAACAGACGACUCAAACUAGAUACAGGCCAAGAAACAUGAACUGACUGGAAAAAACACGACAGAGUAAGGCAAAAAAGAAAGGAUAUUGUGAAAGCUCUCAUUCCACAUUGGACAACCUGGAACUUAUAAAGCGAGAUUCCCGCAUAUCAAAGCUCAAAGGUCGAGGCUUGAUUUGCUCGCGACUUCUGUUUCUUUGGGUCAUUAUCUCGGAGUCAAAUUAUAGGAUCAGCACACUGGAAAGCAGAUUGCUAAUCAGGAAGAACAAGGAACAGGGAAACAUACGAUCCUCUGGUCAAGAACCGACUGUAACAGGAACGCUUUUGGGUUUACACCUGUAUCUGUUACACUAGAUGUGGGGAAAACUGCAUGACAUGAAUGAACAAGCAGCAUUUAAGGUUUAGUUCACCCAAAAAAUGAAAUUCUGUCAUUAAUUAAUUUUAAAUGAGAACAUUUAAAAAAGAUGCAAAAUAAAAAAUCGAUUCAAAUUUCAGUGAAUUCUGAUCUGAUUCCGUUUCACUCAGCUUGACAGAUUGAGCAUGAAUGGCGCUUUAUUAAAAGCUGGAUUUUUUAAGCACAGCAAAUUCUCAGUUACAUUCGGCCUUGCACAACAUUGGAGGCUUAUUUUCCAACAUAAAAAUACACAUCCUCAAGGAAGCUGACCAAGUGGGGUUCCCUAAAGAUCCUGAAAAAUAAAUAGCCAUGAAAUCCACCCUGAUAUAUGUAUAUAUUGUGCAUGUUCAAGGGGAAGCAAUUGAGAUAUAUCUCAGGGAAGAGUUCCUUCCUGUAAGGAAUAUAUUUUCAAUCUGACUGCUGCACAUGAGACCUGUCGCAGCGUCUCAACCCUUGUCCUCCCCUCUGCUAAUUAUUUAUACUUUGCGAAUGGAAAAGAAGGGAAAACAGCACAAAUUCAACAGUGUCAGUGUCUGAACAGUGUCAGAAGUGAUCUUUUAGUAGCAAUGUUAGGAGGUUUUACAUUUUACAGUGUUAUUAAUUUUUCCCAAAUAUUUCAACUGAAUUAAAACAAAUUAAAUAAAUUCUAGAUGUACAAACAACUAUGCCUAUUACACUGUAAAAAAUCCAACUUGCAAAAUGUUGGCUCAGUUUAAAAUUGUAAGUCAAGUGGACAAAUUUUUGAGCAUAGUGUUGAGUUUACUUAUAAAAGCUAUUUAACCGCAUGUUGAAUGCUACUUUGUCCACUGAAUAUAAACAAUUAAGUUGAGAAAACGUAAUAUUUUGAUUUCUAAGUUCGACCGCUUAACUUUUCUGUUAUUGCGCAUGCGCGGUCUGUCGUCCCGGUAACGCGCGGGGUUUAUCCUCUCCAAUCACGCUGAUGAAGGUAAUGGAUUUCAGCGUCUGUUCGAGGUGAGUUUUUAACGUUAUUAUUGAAAUUAAGCUAAAUAAACUGCACACCUAGAUUAUAAAGUGCAAUGAUAUGUUCAUAAAAGAGUAAACUCAUUCUAUAGCACGUGGUUAUAUUUUCAAAAGAGCUCAAUUGUCGAGUUAGCGAUCUUCACAGUUUAGCUGCUAACAUCUGAAGGCUAAUGUUAACAAAUAGUGUAUCAAUUAAAAAAAUAAAAUGUAUAGAAGUAGAUUUUGUGUUGUAGACGGUGUUAAUUUUGUUCUUUAAUGUUCGUCAUCUUUGAUUUUUCUGUAGGCCUAACGUUACAUGUGCAGUAAACACGGCCAAGUAAGGAUGUGUUUGGAAUGCAGUGUAAGCUUUGCAAAUUUGCCCACAGUAUACUAGCAGAGAGGUCCUCUUGAAACAUUACAGGUUUCACCACUAUCAAGGGUGAUCCUGGAAGCAGCCUUGCUUGUUACUGACUGCAUCUGCACUUUCAAAACCAUAGGUGCCUUAAAAUCUCAUUUGAUAAAAGCACACAAACAGAGUGCUGCAGUUAAAGAGCACUUUAAUUUUUCAUACCUCAGAUAUCCUUGCUCAAAGAAAGGCAACAGCUCUCAAAGGGCUCCCUGUGUUUAUGAGGGAAAAGUCAGAAAACGUCCUGAAGACCUGCCUGGACACAGAGCCAGAAGACAGUUAGACAAAGAGGAUGAAGAUGGGGAUCUUAAGCAUCAAAGAUGAUGUUUCCAGCAUCCAUUCCAACCCAAAUGUAAGGUGCUUCUGUUGUUCUAGAAGAGCUAGUUGUGCUGGAGAUCUUCCCACUUCUUUUAAUCUCCUCUUUGGCUUGAUUUAUUGUCUGAUCUUGAACUAUCCUAAAGAGCUUAAAUAAACUUUUGAAACCACUAAUUAGUUGUUCCUGUUGUUUCAAUAACAGUUGUUCCUUAACAGUACAUGUCCAAAAAAAAAAAAAAAAAAAGCUUUGAGUUGUACUGUAAGGCCCAGUGUUGUUUUAGCAUAUGUAGUGAUGGGCGAUAUCAAAACACUUCUUUGGAGCUUUAUGAAUCGAAUCAGUGGUUCACAUGAUUUCAGCAGUUUAAUAGUUUGAUACUCAAUCCAAAUCACUAAUUCGAAACAAAAGAUUUGUAAAGCUCUGAAGCUUUUGAAAUCUUGAGAUGUGCAGUAACAUUGCUGGCAAUGCAGGCCUCACCGAGCCAUCGGAUUUCAUCAAAAAUAUCUUAAUUUGUGUUCCGAAAAUGAACGACAUGAGGGUGAGUAAUAAAUUACAUUUUUUUUUUUUUUGGCCUUUAGAACUUAAAAGUCUUGUUUAUUGCUCUUUAUAGCACUUUAAGAACAAUUGUUUUACUCCAGCACUUCAAAAGAAGUGUGUGUUGUUGUAUUAUGCAAGCACUUUGAACAGCAUUACGAGAUUAGAGGAUUUUUUUUUUUUUUGCUUCUAAGUUUUUUGUUUUUUUUUGUAAUUCAUCUUGAUCUUGUAGAAAAUGUGCCCGUUUUGCAAGCGUCAAUAAAUAUGUUCUAUAAUGUUGAGUAUUGUGUUGUAUUUGUGUUGUUUUUACUGUAUAGUAUGUACUCCAUGCAUUUGGAUUCCCAGUGGGAGGUCUAUACAAGUUUCUGUGUGGGAUAAUUGGAGAAAGUUGAGUUAACUUUAAAAAAUAAAAAGUUGAGUUAACUUAAAAAAUUAAGGCAACCAGCUGCAAAGCUUUUUUUGAGUUUACUGAACUUCAGGAUCUCUGUAGUUGUGCUUACUCAUUUCCUUGAGUUGGACGGGUUGUUGGGUGAACUUACUGAGACAGGUUUAAUUAACUUAAUCAAAUAAGUUUAGUGAACUUUAAAAAAUUAUUUGGCACAACUUUGACCACUGAAGUUGAGUAAACUCAAAAAUGCUUUGCAGCUGGUUGCCUUAUUUUUUUUUAAGUUAACUCAACUUUUUAUUUUUUACAGUGUACCAGUAAAAUAAAAGUCCAUAUCAAAAUCUAAAAAUGGAAAAUUAUUAUUUUUUAAACGUAUUAAACUAUCAUAAUUGAAAAAAAGCAUUUUUUUUUUUUUUACAUUUACAAUUUAAAGAGAUAGUUCACCCAAAAACGAAAAAUAUCCCAUGACUUACUCACCCUCAAACCAUCCUAGGUGUAUAUGACUUUCUUCUUUACAGAUGAUCACAAUCAGAAAUAUAUUUAAAAAUAUCCUGGCUCUUCCAAGCUUUAUAAUGAUAGUAAAUGGGGGGGCAUUUUAAAGGCCAAAAUAAAUGCAUCCAUCCAUCAUAAAUAUAAUUUUAUAAGGGGGUUAAUAAAGGCCUUCUGAAGCGAAGCGAAUUGUUUUUGUAAGAAAAAUAUCCAUAUUUACAACUUUUUAAAGUAAAAUAACUAGCUACUGCCAGACGACUGUACGCAUACUGCGCAAGUUGACUUGCGCCAAAAGAGUAAGCCCCUGAUGCGGUAUAUGACACACCUCUUGCGGUUAAAACAAAUGGGGCAACAAACUCAAGCUCCUCUUUUCUCAUAUCAAAAUCCUCCGACAAUUCUCUUUAAAAAUUCUUGUUUUAGACUUCUAAUUCGUGACUGGUGUUUUGUUUUGCUCUAUCCUCUGCGCUUCCGCAUUCGUCAUUAUGUCAUGCAUCAGAUCGAGGGUUACUCUUCCGCCACAAAUCAAUGUGUACAGUCAUCUUCGGGUAGCUAGUUAUUAUACUUUAUAAAGAUUUAAAUAUGGAUAUUUUUCUUACAAAAACCCAAUGCUUCGCUUCAGAAGGCCUUUAAUAACCCCUUGGAGCCAGAAUAUUUUUUUUUAUGAUGGAUGCAUUUUUGGGGGGCUUCAAAUCACUACCAUUAUAAAGCUUGGAAGAGCCAGGAUAUUUUUAAAUAUAUCUCCGCUGUCUGAAAGAAGAAAGUCAUAUAUACCUACAAUGGCUUAAGGGUGAGUAAAUCAUGUGAUAAUUUUCAUUUUUGGGUGAACUAUCCUUUAAUGCCAUAUUUUGCCAGUCGCUAUGCUUGAUUAAACCACUCUAUACUGUCUAAAGUCAGGGUAGAUUUUGACAAUUGCUGUUUCAAGUGUUUUCUUCAUGUUUCAGUGUUUUCAGAGGUGAUUAUAGGUUUCUUACCAUCAAAAAUCCCAUUAUAUUAGCCCAAAAUUUAACACUCAAACUGAAACAGCAAAUUCAAAUAACAGACAGCUACAAGUGACUUUUGGUGGCAAGUCCUACUUAAUUUCUGGUUAGGAAGAUACCUCACAAUUUUUUACCCACCUAAAAAAGUCACACAUCUGGUUCUGUGGACAGAAAGUGUGCUGUGAAACAGAGGAAAGCAAGGAGUGAAUUCACUAAACACUUCUGCACAAUGUAUUUUAGCACCUGCAACUUAUUCAAUAUGGAAAAUUGUGCAGUGCAAAGAGCAAGUUCAAUGAUUUUAAAAGACUCAAAUAAAAAUGACUGAGUCAAAUGUAAAAGGACAUGAUGAAAGGGAGGCUGAAUAAAAGCUCCAUCUACAGCGCUUCUCUGAUCUCAUUCAGUCCUCUUUAAAUUACAUUAACAGCACCGUCAGGGCAAAUUCAAAUGCGGGCGAAACAUUCCGCCUUUGUGCUUUUGCAAACUGCCUCACGAUGCCUCCGCUCGACCAUUCAUAAAUCUCCAUUUUUGCAGUUAAAUAGUGCUAAGUAAGACCUCCGCUCCCCCCUUAUGGAAACACUCCAUGGAGGUCUCCAGGUUCAGACCUGGAUCAUCCAGGCAGGCCUCUGGCCUUGGCAGUGGGUGGCAGGCCACGGCCGCCCUCCGCACCUCUACCGGGGCGAAACCGAGCCGAUGGGGUCCAAGAAAAACUCGAGGAAAAAAUAUCUGCAACAUGGGCAGAGGAAGCAUCUGUGUGGAGAGAGAGGCUUUCUGAUGAAAUAUCGCCUGCUGACAGUACAAGAAGGAAGAGGCCAUGCGGUUUCAGAGCCCUCGUACAGAAGCACCGCUGUAAAAACGCAUUCCAGUAGCCCAGCAACUGACCCUCGCUGAUUUUAUUGCCUGUAUAUAUUACGGGCUCUGCAGAAAUCCAGAGCGUAUGGAUCAGAAAUCUGGGAUCGGUCGAUACGGAAGGCUGGCAGGGGUCUGGAAGGCUUUAUUGGAUGCACGCUCGUGUCCUUCACUUCUGUGAAUGGUCACCACAUGUUGGCGGUUAUUUGUGCAAGCUGUUAAAUUUGCAUUGGUAGCAUGAUUUGAAUUAAUGAUUUUCUCCAACUGUGUGAGCCUGACACAACAUCUAAAGAAAAAUAACAGUUUGGAUUUUAUAUUCAUGUGCAAGAUUAUUUGCUCUUGGAUUGCAGUUUACACAAAAGGUCACACAAACACAUUAUUUUCUUUAUUUAUUUACAAUGGAUCAUUACGGACAGCCCACUGUCAUAUUAGUUAAAAGAAAAGUUAAGCCCAAAAUAAAAAACUAUGUCAUGAUUUACUCACUGUCAUGUUGUCUGAAGAGUGGUUAAACAAUACGGGUUUAUCAAUGGCCGAUACCAACUAUAAAGUAUAUAAUAUAUUGUAUAAAUAAACCUAUUAUAUAUAUAUACAUACACACACACACACACACACACACACACACACACACACACACACACAAUAUUAUGACCACUGACAGGUGAAGUGAAUAACACUGAUUAUCUCUUCAUCACGGCACCUGUUAGUGGGUGGGAUAUAUUAGGCAGCGAGUGAACAUUUUGUCCUCAAAGUUGAUGUGUUAGAGGCAGGAAAAAUUGGCAAAAGUAAGGAGUUUGACAAAGGCCAUAUUGUGAUGGCUAGAUGACUGGGUCAGAGCAUGUCCAAAAUUGCAUGCCCAUCAACGCGCUGCAUUCGGCGUUACAGAAGUCAUCAGCAGCGCUGCACAGGACUUGCUCGAGAAAGAUUUGUCACUUUGUUUUUAGACCACGAAAUCAACAAUGUCACCAAAGAAGUGUGUUUUUGGUUGUGAGGGAUUUGUGCUCAAGCAUUACAUUGAUGCGCUCUCGAUAUUUGUUAUUAAAAUAACCAUAGAAACUGAUAGUUUCAAUCACCUUUUUAUUGGUUAAAAUGAAUGGAGAAUAUCUCGUGUUUUUCCGUGGCUGCUCGAGCCCUCAGGAUCAGCGCUUAUGGUUUCAUAAACAAGGCCCAGUUCGACGCUGGAUUUACAGAUCGUUUGAAACUGAAAGAUGGAGCGGUCACAGCGAUAAAGAUCCCGGUCAUGAGUCGGAACCGCAGGUGGUGAGUAAAACUGCUUCAAAUGUCUGUUUUGUUGGCAAUAGGCGCCUAAGUGCAUAUAAUGUAAACAAUAUGAACGUAGUGAAUUCAUAAAUUCAUUAUUCACUAUACGCUAUAUUCAUUAUAGUGAUUCAAAAGUUAUCCAUGGAUAAUGCGAUGAUGUAUUGUGCGUGUUUAAAUUUAGCUGACCAUUGAUAGCUUGCAGAUGAUGCUCGUGACAGCUCGUCACUCUAUCUCCGCUCACACGACAUGCCUCCAGGUGCUUGGCUGUUUUCGGAAAGACUCGGUACAGUGUAUGUAGCUUUUAUAAAUAUGAUAAAACUAAAGACUUUUCUGCGAUAUGAAGGAUGCUACACUACUCUAUAGGUACUUAAGUUUAACAUGAGAUUGGCAGAAACUGUGUGUGAUACCCCCCUUUAAGUGUUAUCUGACAUAAUUAAGAUGAAUUUUUUCUGACACAGUUUAACUCUGAGAUUGUCAUAUUUUAUUACCAUUUUUUUUUUAACUAUAAACUAUAGUGAAUAAACUAUUAAUGAAUGAAAUGUUCAAGGUCUCCGAAUAAAUUUUGGUUUGACUG